AUAAAGAGACCGAAACUUUCUAAAGUAUUUCAGCCAAAAUAACCCAAAGAAACGAGCUGGACGCAGACACUACAAAGCAGAGUUAUGGUUUCACGCCAGCACUACGGUGAAACGCCUUGCAGCCGUGAUGAGCAGCGUUAUUACGAUGAAACGUUUUACAGACUUUUAAACAAAACACGACACAUGAUGAACCUGUCUACAGAAACAGAGCCGUGCUGAAGUACACACAGCUGUAUGAGGAGCAGUCCAGCUGCUAUUAAAACGCAGUCAUAAUGCUGAGCUGGAACCGACCUGACAGACACCCUGCAAUGAAAAUCCACUUUUUCUCUGCAGCAGAACUUUAAACGGCUCUCAUUUACUUCAACGGCUUUAAUCUGCACUAAAUAAAGGUGCUUUUUUGUACUUCUCA